AUUGAACGCUGGCGGCAGGCCUAACACAUGCAAGUCGAACGGUAGCACAGAGAGCUUGCUCUUGGGUGACGAGUGGCGGACGGGUGAGUAAUGUCUGGGAAACUGCCCGAUGGAGGGGGAUAACUACUGGAAACGGUAGCUAAUACCGCAUAACGUCGCAAGACCAAAGUGGUGGACCUUCGGGCCUCACACCAUCGGAUGUGCCCAGAUGGGAUUAGCUAGUUGGUGAGGUAAUGGCUCACCAAGGCGACGAUCCCUAGCUGGUCUGAGAGGAUGACCAGCCACACUGGAACUGAGACACGGUCCAGACUCCUACGGGAGGCAGCAGUGGGGAAUAUUGCACAAUGGGCGCAAGCCUGAUGCAGCCAUGCCGCGUGUAUGAAGAAGGCCUUCGGGUUGUAAAGUACUUUCAGCGAGGAGGAAGGCAUUAAGGUUAAUAACCUUAGUGAUUGACGUUACUCGCAGAAGAAGCACCGGCUAACUCCGUGCCAGCCGCCGCCGUAAGAC
rnacentral:rRNA from 1 species